UAACGAGGAGAGAUUUGAUUGCUUGCAACCUCGUCAAAAAUGCUAAAAGAGA
rnacentral:ncRNA from 1 species